GAUGAACGCUGGCGGCGUGCCUAAUACAUGCAAGUCGAGCGGAAGGACGAUAAGCUUGCUUCUCGGAUGUUAGCGGCAGACGGGUGAGUAACGCGUGGAAAACCUACCUAUAAUACGGGGAAAACUUCGGAAAUCCGGAGCUAAUCCCGGAUAAUAUUCUGAUCCGCAGGGUUGAAAGGUGAAAGACGGUCUUGCGGUAACGUAUAGAGGGAUCCGCGCUGCAUGAUGUGGUUGGUAAGGUAACGGCUUUCGAAGGCAACGAUGCAUGACCGAGCUGAGAGGGUGAUCGGCCACACUGGAACUGAGACACGGUCCAGACUCCUACGGGAGGCAGCAGUAGGGAAUCUUCCGCAAUGGUCGGAAGCCUGACGGAGCAACGCCGCGUGAGUGAUGAAGGUCUUCGGAUCGUAAAACUCUGUUAUUAGGGAAGAACAUAUGUGUAAGUAACUGUGCACAUCUUGACGGUACCUAAUCAGAAAGCCACGGCUAACUACGUG
rnacentral:rRNA from 1 species